AUCACCAAACUGUUUUGAAAGAUAAAAGUACUUCCUGAAUAUGUGGAUGGUGAGCCACGUGAAUGGAAGACAUGGAGAUAUGGACUGUUAACACCUUGUCAAACAUUUAUUGUCCCUUCCACCUCUAAACUUCUGUGAUAAUAGGUGAACAGGACCCACGUGGUGCAGAAUACUGCGAUACACACUGCGGAAUAAUUCAGGGACUGGGAGUUGGAGAGGGGAGACUGGAGAGAGUAGGAAGAAGAAAGAGACAUUAUACAAAUGCAAGCUGUUGUCACAACAAUGAUAAGAAAUCAGGAGUCGAAAGAUGUGGAGUAAGGGGGAAUUUCAGAGAAACCACAAAACACAAAAUAGGAAACAGAGACAGGAGAAGAUUGCUAUGACAAAAUUGCAGAAGGUGAAAUCUUUGGCAGCCUCUUAUUUCUCUGGAGAAUAUGAUAUUGUCAGGCUGAGGUGGAAGAAUCACAUGGUCAUACUGUUGAAGAGGUCUUGAAACAUUGGGCUUUCCUCUACAAGCGGAAGGAUAGCACUGGCAGCCAUCCACUGGCCCAGCAAUAUCCUGGAUUGAGACGAUAUCAUUUGCAUUACUUGCUGAAUGAAACAUAGUGAAAAUGACUGCAGAUAACCUCAACUAAGUCCAAGAUAUCAUUUUCAAAUCUGGACCAGCCCUUGCCAUCUAGACUGAACAGAGAUUCCAGUUUCCAGGAGAGUAGAUGGAGUAAUGAUAAAAGCACCUCCCAAAACUUUUGCCUUGGUACUACAGAGUGGCACAUAACUAAACAUUAUCAAGGAAUUUUACAGCCCUAGGCCUUCUAUUACUGUGUAUUACAGUCUGCUGUAAUCAUUCUAAUGGUCUAAGAUGUUGCAAGUAAUUUACUCACGGCCUGAACACCAGAAGUGCCAAAAUUGCCUGGGAGUUUUAUUCUGCAUCCAACCAGUACCAGGAAGGAGGAUGUAUUACUUCUCGUUUCUCUACAAGUGUCAGUGCAAAUCCAGCCAUCAAACAAAACUUAGACCUAAAAGCUUUUAGAUUACAGCGAUUAUUGCAGAUUUUACAUGAGAUAAAAAUAUCGAACAUUGAAUAGACCUGAUGAGUGUGAGAAUCCUUGACUUGUGUCCUACCUUAACAAAAAAGCAUUCCGUGUUUCACCAUUAAGAA
ensembl:lncRNA LINC01478 long intergenic non-protein coding RNA 1478